rnacentral:rRNA from 1 species
AUUGAACGCUGGCGGCAUGCCUUACACAUGCAAGUCGAACGGCAGCACGGGUGCUUGCACCUGGUGGCGAGUGGCGAACGGGUGAGUAAUACAUCGGAACAUGUCCUGUAGUGGGGGAUAGCCCGGCGAAAGCCGGAUUAAUACCGCAUACGAUCUACGGAUGAAAGCGGGGGACCUUCGGGCCUCGCGCUAUAGGGUUGGCCGAUAGCUGAUUAGCUAGUUGGUGGGGUAAAGGCCUACCAAGGCGACGAUCAGUAGCUGGUCUGAGAGGACGACCAGCCACACUGGGACUGAGACACGGCCCAGACUCCUACGGGAGGCAGCAGUGGGGAAUUUUGGACAAUGGGCGAAAGCCUGAUCCAGCAAUGCCGCGUGUGUGAAGAAGGCCUUCGGGUUGUAAAGCACUUUUGUCCGGAAAGAAAUCCUUGGCUCUAAUACAGUCGGGGGAUGACGGUACCGGAAGUAUAAGCACCGGCUAACUACGUG